AUGCAGCCUCAUCAUGGGAUCAGGGCCCUUCUACACCAGGACUGGGAAAGCUCCCUGCCCUCGGCCCCAUGUGAGGUGACAGGAAAGGACGGGCUAGGAUGGAUCAGGACAGAAUACAAACAACUCACCGUGGAGUCUGUGCUCAGCUGGGUUUUCAUUGUCGCUAUUUCAAAAGGUGUCCAUGGUGAGGUGCAGCUGGUGGAGUCUGGGGGAGACCUUGUGAAGCCUGGGGGGUCCCUGAGACUCUCCUGUGUGGCCGCUGGAUUCACCUUCAGUAGCUACAGCAUGAGCUGGGUCCGCCAGGCUCCCGGGAAGGGGGUGCAGUGGGUCGCAUGGAUUUAUGCUAGUGGAAGUAGCACAAGCUACACAGAUGCUGUGAAGGUCCGAUUCACCAUCUCCAGAGACAACGCCAAGAACACAGUGUUUCUGCAGAUGAACAGCCUCAGAGCUGAGGCCAUGUAUUCCUGUGCCAAAUUCGUAGAUUUACAGGAUGAUUUGAUGGUUAUCCCAAUUGAAGAGGACUGUGAGAACAAGCUGGACGAUAUACACUGUGGCAAUGACCAGAAUGCCCCCAGGCCCCAAAGCACUGUUCACCAUGAAGAAGACCCAUGA